rnacentral:lncRNA from 1 species
CAGGAAUGUCAUGGAAAACUGUCGUGAAAACAUGAUAGUACUAAAAGAAGGAUUGGAGAAGACAGAGCGCUUCAACAUAGUCUCUAAAGACGAAGGGGUACCAUUAGUGGCCUUCUCUUUGAGGGACAACCACCGCCAUGACGAGUUCGAAAUCUCUGACUUGCUUCGCCGCUUCGGAUGGAUUGUCCCUGCCUACACCAUGCCUCCAGAUGCGCAACAUGUCACAGUUUUGCGCGUGGUGAUUAGAGAAGACUUCUCUCACACUUUGGCGGAGCGCCUAGUGAAUGAUAUCCAGAAAGUGUUGCAUGAACUAGACACACUUCCAUCUAAGCUUAGCUCUAAUGUGAAGGCUGCCGACGGAGAGGAUGGGAAACCUGCAGAGACGAGGGCACUUGAGAGUAAGAAGAGUGAUUUGGAAAAGACAAGGGAGAUCACAACAAUUUGGAGGAAGUUUGUUACGGCCAGGAAGCAGAAGAUGAAUGUUGUUUGUUAGAAAGUGUCUGGUUUUUGCUACUCUAAUUAAUUAUUAACUUUGCUAAAAUUGAGUGUGUACUUGUAUGUGCUUUCAAUUGGAGUGGGAGUGAGCGUCCUUUUUGUAUCGCGUGUGACAAUUUCUUUUGCUCAAAUUUGAUGCCUAAUGAGUAGUUUUACACCCUUUAUUAUUUUGUAUGAUCAAAUUUUUGACAAGUUAGCUCGUGGUCUAACAUAAUUCUCUCUCAAAUAGUGAAGAUGCCUCGAGUUCAAAGUUCCCUUCGCCUGUUGAUGAAACAAAACCAACCAAAUUGUGAAAUACAGAAAUUUGGGCUUAUAGAUUCAUUUGCCCCACUGUGAGCCCGAUUAGACACUGAAAAUUGGAAAGAAAGAGACACUGCUUCAAAAAGCCUUAAGUCGUCACAAACCAACCAGCAUCAGUCUAACUAUUUUGUGGAUGUGGGCAUGGUAGGCCAUCCUUGUUUAGAAUGCUUGUCAGAGAGGGUGGACGUCGGUCAACCCAGACAAAAGAGCGCAUCCUCAAGGAAGAUAGCUUGGCCAAGUUGGCGGUUCUGGGAGAAUCCAUCCAUUGGUCUUUGGUUUUCCUAGAGCCUCCCAGCUAAGCCAAUGAAUUUGUUUCUCCCUUCCUGAUUGGCCCCACCAGAAGUUGGAUGGCAAGGAGUCAAUUUCUCUACAUACAGAUUUGGGAAAUAAGAAAAUAUUCAUAGGUUAUUGAGGGACAGCUUGCGUCGUUGCCUUUAGAAGGACCUCACGACCAGCUUGACACAAAAGUUGUUGUUUCCAGCCCUGAAUUUUCAACAAAAUCCUUCCUUUUAUGUAGAGCAAAGCUUCACGUUUGGCUCUUCCCCAAAUGGUAGAAAGACCAAGGUAUUUUCAUGGGCCAUCGACCUCUGGCAUACUAAAAACACCUCAAAUCUCAUCGCAAAUAUUCCCUAGAGUGUUGAAGCUGAAGUAUAGGGUGGAUUUGGAGAAGUUUACUCAUUGUCCAGAGGCAUUACAAUAUGCAUUAAGUAGGUGGACCAGAUUCCUGUUAUUUUGCACUGAAGCUUUCAGAAAAAUUAGAGUAUCAUCAGCAAACAUCAAGUGGGAAAUUGUGGGGGCAGUGUGACUGAGUCUGAUUCCCUGCAAAACACCAGUUAAACAGGCUUUUUGGAUCAUCAGAGAAAGCACUUCACUUACAAAGAGGAAAAGGUAGGGCGAGAUAGGAUCACCCUGCCUUAAACCUCAAGACGGCUUAAAGCUCCAACUUGGAUGACCACCCAGAAGCAUCGCAAGUUGAACAGUAGUUACACAACUCAUCACCAAUUGGAUUCAAGAGGAAGCAAAGCCCAUCUUCUGAUGUUGUCCUGAAUCUAACAAUCAGAGAUUAAGCUAGGCAAAAGAGGCUUGAGCCGAUUUGCCAGGAUUUUGGAGAGGAUUUUGUAUGAAAAAUUGCAGAGACUAAUAGGGCGGAAUUGUGAGACAAAUUCUGGACAUGUAGUUUUAGGGANNNNNNNNNNNNNNNNNNNNNNNNNNNNNNNNNNNNNNNNNNNNNNNNNNNNNNNNNNNNNNNNNNNNNNNNNNNNNNNNNNNNNNNNNNNNNNNNNNNNNNNNNNNNNNNNNNNNNNNNNNNNNNNNNNNNNNNNNNNNNNNNNNNNNNNNNNNNNNGGAAAGCAGCUCCUGGUCUAACUAAUUCUCUCUCAAAUAAUGAAGAGGCCUAGAGUUCAAAGUCCCCUUCUUCUGUUCAUUAAAAAAAAGCAACCAAAUUGUGAAAUACAGAAAUUUGGGCCAUGUUGCCUCACUGUGAGCCUGAUUAAUUAGACACUGAAAACUCUUCCCACGGUGAAGGGGAAUUAGUUGAUAAUUUGUAGGGAAAAAUAUCAAUCACUUCAAAAUUAUCCUUACACUCGAGAUUCUAAGUUCGAUUUUCACCAUUCCCCUAAUAUCGUUUGUUAAAAAAUGGAAUACAGCAAUUGGAAUGUACUACAAAGGAAUAAUAGUAAUUAUAAAAAUAUAUAUAAAAAAAACUUAGCCAAAGAGAAUAAAUAAAGUUGAACAAUCAUAAAGUCCACUCGCAUCAAUCCAAAAAAUAGAAAAUAAAACAACUAAAAUAACAAAAGAAAAAGAACACAUCUAGGCCUAAUAUCCCUUGAAGUUUCCAGUGUACAAGUACUCCUCCUUUGCAGAUAGAGACCUAAACUUCUAGAUAUCAUGAAAUGGGCACGAUUUAGGGUUUGGAUGAUGGCGUGCUCUUCACCACUGUAACUGGACAUGAAGCAUUAGUCACCACAUAGUUGCUGACACUGCCAAGCAACACCCUGCAGGGUUUAGGCAUCAAUUUCCAAUCAAUCAGAUAUAUAGAACAUUCCUAAUUCCUUUGACUAAAAUGUUACAAUACUUCUUCAGAAAAUUAGUGAUUAUGGACCUAACCAACAAUUUCGUGGCGAUGAGAAUAACUAUAUUGCUAUGAUGUCUUUUGAGUUUGUGCUUUCAUUUAUUUUGUCAAGUGUUUCAGACAAAAACUGAAGAUAUUGUAAGUGCUUUAAACUUUGUUGAAAACACAAAAUCACAGUUCUAAGAUAUGAGGGCACAUGGCUGGGAUGAUUUAUUCAUGAGCGUGGUAUCAUUUUGUGAAUGACAUAGUAUUGAUGUUCAUGAUAUGAGUUUUCAUUAUAUGAUUGGCACACGUCGUUCUUGUUUUGUUACAGUUGAACAUUAUUAUCGCGGUGAUGUAUUUAAUGAUGUGAUAGAUUACAUGUUGAGGGAGUUAAAUGACAGAUUUUUAGAGCGAAGAGUUGAACUUCUUAUUCUUAGCUCAGCAUUGGAUCCUUAUAAUUCCUUCAAAUAAUUCAAAAUUGAGCAUCUACAUAAACUUGUUGAGAAAUUCUAUCCUACUGAUUUCAGUCCAAGUGACUUGAAAGCUUUAGAAAUUGAGUUGAAGUAUUUUCAAAAUGAUAUGCAUUGCCUUCCCUACUUUAAGGACCUCAGCACUCUUCCUCAGUUAUGUCAACAAUUGGCGGAAACAACUUUAGCAGAAAACUACUAUUUGCUUUACAUGUUGAUUCAGUUGGUGUUGACUCUUCCUAUUUCUACAGUAACAACGGAACGAGCUUUUUCAUGUAUGAGAAUUAUUAAGAAUAGACUUCGGAGCACCAUAGCUGAUGAAUUCCUUGCUGAUUGCAUGAUUCUCCACAUUGAAAGAAAGUUUGCUAAUAAUAUCGACAAUGAAGAUAUAAUUGAGGAAUUUAAAAUUUCUAAGCCUUAUAGGGUAAAGUUUUAGAUUUAAAUAGUUUAUUUUGUAUUACAUUGCAUUUACUUCUUGUUUUUUUUUGUUAAGCUUUUAUUUAUGUAUAGAUAUGCAUAUUUGAGGGUAAGGCUCAUUACGUCCCCCCUGACUAGGUGUAUCUUUUUAUUUUUAUGAAUAAAAUUCAUUCGUACCGUUGACUUUUUAAGGUAAGUUUCGCCUACUUGACUUUUGAAUCUUGGAUCCGCCACUGAUGGUGAUACCACUAUUAUUGCUUAAGUGCAUUCAUCCACAACAGAAUCCACUCACUAAACUAAAGUUGAAUAAAAGAAGUGAUACAGUGGUGAUAAAGCAGUGAUAAAAUGGUGAGAAAGAAGUGAUACAGUAGUGAUAAAGGAGUGAUACAAAAUGCUGAUUGUAUUUACCUUUAGCUUCUUGUUUUAUAUUUAAAUAAUAAAAUAAAUAUAAAUAUCGGAUCGGUACGGGUUUUCGUCAGGUUAGGAAUUUUGUUUUCGUUAACCAAACCAAACAUUUCGGUACGGAUCGGAUCAGAAUAAUUAAAAUUAAAAAAUAUUUAUUUAAUCAAACCAAACCAAACCGUCGGUACGAUAUGAUGGUACACGAAUAAUUCGGAUAAGAUGUCUACCCCUGUAUAUAUACAUAAAGAGACACCUAAAAACAAACGGUACUUCUUAGUCCAAGCACGUGCAAGAAUAAAGCAUAAAUUCGGGUGCAAGUUGCUCUUUUACAUUAAUAUCCAUUAGUCAUGAUGCUCCCAAUAAUUUGUACUUUAAUGGAUCCUCAAUCUCAAGACACAUUUUUUUUAUACACUUUUGUAAUGGUUACUCACAAGCUUCUCCAUGUAUAAAUUAUUGCAUCUAGAAUGUGAACAUUUUACUCGUUAUAGUUUAGCGUGAUUUGUAACGUAUGCAUAUAAUUAUAAGUGUGAUUUAUCGUAAUUUUAUUUUCUUUAAUAAAGUAACUUCAUUUUUUGCUUUAUCCAAACAACACUGUGCAUGCAUGUCGAUUAGCUAUAAAAAAAAAAUAAUGAACUGUAAUAUCGGAAGUAUUAAAUCUCAAAUAAUAUAAAUACUAACAAAUUUAGACAUAAGAACUUUUUCUUUUGUUAGAUGAGAUAUGCACAACAGCAAUUCAGGAAUUUGCCUACGCUGCCAAAGAAGUUGAACAUGAAGCGUAGAUGUAAUCAGAAAUUUCGUCGAAACUGUUUUUUAUUUUAUAUACUAGUUCUUUAAUAACAUUGCGUUAAUUAAAUUGAAAAGUUGAAUACGACACAAAUUAUUAAAAUAACAAUAAAUUUUUUCAAAUUACCACAUAAGUUAACAAUAUUUGAAAUAUUUAAUUUGCUAUUACCGUUAGAGAUGCAUAUAAAGUAUGAUUGUAAUUAGAACAAACCUAAGAGGUAUGACUGAAACUCUUCCUUUUUACAGUUGUUUCCAAUCCAAACUACUUCGCAAGAAAACUUGACUGGUUUAAUGUUUGCAGUCAAAUUGAUUCACCUGUCAAUGGGUACCAAAGGCCCGAAUGCUACAAACCCACGCAAAUUAAACAAUAUUUUUGAAACUACGUCGGUUUGAUCCCAUCAAGGGUAUGUACUGAUGUGAGAGAGCUUGAAUAGCUCUCCCCUUCUUUUUGUCUAUAAAGCUAACUCCCGACCUUGAAUGGGUUCAAAAGCAAAGUCCAAAACCAUGGGUCCACUGUUCCCUUCCCUAGUUGUAUACUACUACUACUUCAUUUGUGACUUGUUUAGAUCGAUCUUCUUCCCUCCUCAAAACCCUUAUCCACAGUCACAUUUCUAGAUCUUUGAAACUAGUACACCAUUAUCAAUCCAUCACCAUGGUUCUCUCAAAAAUUGCAUCGGAGUCGGAUGUCUUCGUCCACUCAACCUUCGCUUCUCGAUACGUUCGAACUUCUUUUCCCAGGUAAUUUUAGAUUCACAGUCUGACAACAUAAAAUACUUUAACAACAGCAAAAGUCUUGAUAUUUAGUUUCAUCGUUGAUGUCAUGCGGAUGAAUUGGUUAAAUGGAUGGAUGAUAUUUAUCGAUCAUGCAGGUUCAAAAUGGCCGAAAACUCGAUCCCAAAGGAGGCAGCAUACCAGAUCAUAAACGACGAGCUUAUGUUGGACGGCAACCCGAGGCUGAAUCUGGCGUCGUUCGUAACGACGUGGAUGGAGCCUGAGUGCGACAAACUGAUGAUGGCCUCCAUCAACAAGAACUACGUGGACAUGGAUGAAUACCCCGUCACCACUGAGCUCCAGGUAACCCCAUAUCUUCUUUUGUCAUCCUCAUCUCAAAACAUCGUCGUUUUGGAUCCAUUCCCGUUUUACAAUUUUUUUAAUAAUUAAUAUCACAUUUGCUUCAUAAAUUAAUACGUAAUCUAUGAGUGGAGUGGGUAGAAUCUAGAGUGGAGUUGGUGAGAAUUAAUAUACAAUUAACGUAUAAUAUCAUAAGGGCGGCGACUUUAAUAAUUAAAAAAAAGAAAGAAAGCAGAGGCCCUGCUGACAAUGGCGUUCAUUUCAUUAUUUGUUUAAUUAAUAAUAAGCAUGUAUCAUUAAAGAUUAAAAAAUAGAAAUGAGGAGGAGUGAGAUGCCAGCCAGCCAUCCUCCACAUGCUAAGGCCUGAUUUGUGGUUUUUUGAGAAAGCUUGUAAAACUCCAUCGGCAAUUUUCAUCUCUUGUAACAUUGGGAAUAUGAAGGUCAAAUUAAAAAAUAUAUACAUUUACACUUCCAAUGAAUUGCCUUAUUUAUUUUACUGGGCAUUUAGGUCACCCGAGGUAAGUUUGUUUUGGACAAUUACCCUUACGUACAUGCAUUGGAGGUAAGUGCUUCAGUUUCUGAGUUGUGUACUGUACCUAAUAUUCCUAUGCGGAAUGCGGAUAGACUGACGGAUUCUUUUUUGGUCGGUAAUGACUGACUGAUUUUGACAUCAAAUAAGACAAAAUCAUGUUGUGCGCGAAUCAUUAAGAUAUUUAAUUGAGAUUAAAUCGAUAUUCAGCAUGGAAAGGUAGAAAUUAGAGUUGAUUGGGUCCACAGUUUAUGCCGAGAUGCGUGUGGAAUAAAUUGGCUUUGAUUCCAUCCACGAUUUUUAAAAUCAAUAAAAGAAGAUAAACAAGUGGGCAGUUUUAGGUGGGGAUGGAAUGGAUGGUCCAUAAAUUUCUGAUAAUUUCUUCCUUGGUAAAGUUGGUAGCUAGCUUCCGUUAGAAGCGUCACGCGUACAUUGAUUUCUCCAUCCAUCACAUUUGGAUCUAGCGGCAAGAUGUCGAUAUCAACACUAAAAUGUAAUAAAAUAAUAAUUUAAUUUAACAUAUCGGAUGAAGUGUAAAGCUGUAUAAGAUGUCAAAUUACCACAUCAACCAUCAAAUUUAAAUUUGAUGUUUGAUAUUUGCCAUAUCUCUUGGAGAUGUUCUAAUUCGACAAACUAAUAUACUCUAAUUGUAUCUUCCAACUUCUAGGCUGUCAUUUUUGUAACGUUUAACUAGGAAAGAGCUUUUUGUGCAAAUACCAAUUGAUGAUACCCAGGCAUGUCAUCAUGUUAAUUGAUAUGAUUAACGAAGAAAGCUUUUAUCUUGAUUAAAAAUUAAUCUCAACUUACACAUUAUGUUGGAUGUUUAGAGCUAAUUAAUAUCAUGUGUUGUAUUUUUGUGCAUGAUAUAUAUGAACACACAAGAAUCGGUGCGUAAACAUCAUAGCUCAUCUAUUCAAUGCCCCAUUGGGGGAGUCAGAGUCCGCAGUUGGAGUGGGAACUGUGGGCUCUUCUGAAGCCAUCAUGUUGGCCGGCUUAGCUUUCAAGAGGAAAUGGCAGAACAAGAGGAGAGCUGAGGGCAAGCCCACUGACAACCCCAACAUUGUCACUGGAGCCAAUGUCCAGGUAUUUAUAUAUGCUCAUCAUAUUUAUUUCAGCAAUUUUAAUAAAUAAAUAAAAAUAAAAUUCAACAAUGAUUGAUGUUAGGGACAAUAUAUUUUUAAACUACAUAAUUACAGUAAGUGAAUCGAAUUAUGUGACAUGUGUAAUCUAUUAGUUACAUUCCUUAUUUAUUAUGAUUAGUUGAUAAUUAAAACAUCGUCUGCCACAUAAUGUAAACGUAAUUUAAGUAGCUAUAAUCGAAUAUUAGGAAAAUUUAGUACCUUAGCAUUGCAAUCAACCAAACUAAUAUUGUUACUGUAUGGAUUAAUUGAAGGUGUGCUGGGAGAAAUUUGCAAGGUACUUUGAGGUGGAGUUAAAGGAGGUGAAAUUGAGGGAAGGAUACUAUGUAAUGGACCCUGAGAAGGCAGUGGAGAUGGUUGAUGAGAACACCAUCUGCGUCGCUGCUAUCCUUGGCUCCACUCUCAAUGGAGAAUUCGAAGAUGUUAAGCGCCUGAAUGAUCUCUUGGUAGAGAAGAACAAGGAAACUGGGUAUGUAAUCUCUCUCAAUUUUUAUCUUAUUUACUAAUGUGACACAUACCAUCACUUAUUAUGCAUAAAUAAAUGGCAUUCACAUGAUAAUAAACUUAGUUAUAAUCGAAUAAAAUGUUGUCACAUUAGUUAGAAUUCAAAAUAUUAGAAUAAGAUGUUGGUGCUCUCAAAAUUAAUGAGAAAGCUCUUCAAAUAUAUAUCUCUACAAAUUAAGACAAUAUGGAUCGCGUCGAAACAUAUAUCAUUUUUCUGACCAUCUCUUGUCAGAUAAAACGGGACUCAUUUACACAGCGGGUCCUAUAUCUAUUAGUGACUCAUCAGUAAUGUUGAUGUAGUCUAAAUAACAUUACUCGUGUAUACCACCUGACUUUGAUUUUUUUUUUCUUUUUUCUUUCGUUUGUGUAGAUGGGAUACUCCAAUCCAUGUAGACGCAGCAAGUGGUGGGUUUAUUGCACCAUUUUUGUACCCAGAACUUGAGUGGGACUUCCGUUUGCCCUUAGUGAAGAGCAUCAAUGUUAGUGGGCACAAGUACGGACUUGUGUAUGCAGGAAUUGGGUGGGUCAUCUGGAGGAACAAAGAGGACUUGCCUGAGGAACUCAUCUUCCAUAUCAACUAUCUUGGAGCAGAUCAACCUACCUUCACCCUCAACUUCUCUAAAGGUACCUACUCUUCAAACUGUCUUUAUUAUUUUAUUGAUAUAUCGUAGCAGUUUCAAUACACCAUUCACAUUGGUAAAUGUCCAACUGUAGACUGAGUUUUCAUGCUUUCCAUAAUGCAGGAUCCAGCCAAGUUAUUGCUCAAUAUUAUCAACUGAUUCGCUUGGGUUUUGAGGUAGGUAAACUAAUAAUUUAUAAAUGAAUAAUUUAUUCUUGUAAAUGUACCAAUCAAAAACUAUUAAGACAUCUAAUUGUGAUAACAUAAAUACACAAAUGCAAUGCUUACAGUAACCACUUCAUGAGAAUAAUCGAUAAUCCAUUAAAACAGCUUGGUGAUCAUAUCUUCUUUAUAUAUGUAUGACAUAAUAAAAUGAAUUUUGUGCAUGUAAACCAGGGGUAUAGGAAUGUCAUGGAAAACUGUCGCGAAAACAUGAUAGUACUAAAAGAAGGAUUGGAGAAGACAGCGCGCUUCAACAUAGUCUCUAAAGACGAAGGGGUACCAUUGGUGGCCUUCUCUUUGAGGGACAACCACCGCCAUGACGAGUUCGAAAUCUCUGACUUGCUCCGCCGCUUCGGAUGGAUUGUCCCUGCCUACACCAUGCCUCCAGAUGCGCAACAUGUCACAGUUUUGCGCGUCGUGAUUAGAGGAAGGACUUUCUCUCGCACUUUUGGCGGAGCGCCUAGUGAAUGAUAUCCAGAAAGUGUUGCAUGAACUAGACACACUUCCAUCCAAGCUUAGCUCCAAUGUGAAGGCUGCCGAUGGAGAGGAUGGCAAACCUGCAGAGACGAGGGCACUUGAGAGUAAGAAGUGUGAUUUGGAAAAGACAAGGGAGAUCACAACAAUUUGGAGGAAGUUUGUUACGGCCAGGAAGCAGAAGAUGAAUGUUGUUUGUUAGAAAGUG